rfam:Gossypium raimondii Chr02_contig_1476, whole genome shotgun sequence.
UGUUAAAAAUUUCUUUCAUUUCUUCUAUUAAAAACCAGCGUGACAGAUGGAAUAAUCAUAUAGUUGGACGUAGUGUGCCAGGUGUACCUCAUCAAGAUGAUUUUUAAUUGUAAAAACAGAUGAAAUUUUUAACA